AACGAACGCUGGCGGCAGGCCUAACACAUGCAAGUCGAGCGAACCUUCGGGUUAGCGGCGGACGGGUUAGUAACGCGUGGGAACGUGCCCUUCACUACGGAAUAGUCCCGGGAAACUGGGUUUAAUACCGUAUACGCCCUUCGGGGGAAAGUUUUUCGGUGAAGGAUCGGCCCGCGUUGGAUUAGGUAGUUGGUGGGGUAAAAGCCUACCAAGCCGACGAUCCAUAGCUGGUUUGAGAGGAUGAUCAGCAACACUGGGACUGAGACACGGCCCAGACUCCUACGGGAGGCAGCAGUGGGGAAUCUUAGACAAUGGGGGAAACCCUGAUCUAGCCAUGCCGCGUGAGUGAAGAAGGCCCUAGGGUCGUAAAGCUCUUUCACCGGUGAAGAUAAUGACGGUAGCCGGAGAAGAAACCCCGGCUAACUCCGUGCCAGCCGCCGCCGUAACAC
rnacentral:rRNA from 1 species